AACGAACGCUGGCGGCAUGCCUAACACAUGCAAGUCGAACGAGACCUUCGGGUCUAGUGGCGCACGGGUGCGUAACGCGUGGAAAUCUGCCCUUGGGUUCGGAAUAACAGUGAGAAAUUACUGCUAAUACCGGAUGAUGUCUUCGGACCAAAGAUUUAUCGCCCAGGGAUGAGCCCGCGUAGGAUUAGCUAGUUGGUGGGGUAAUGGCCUACCAAGGCGACGAUCCUUAGCUGGUCUGAGAGGAUGAUCAGCCACACUGGGACUGAGACACGGCCCAGACUCCUACGGGAGGCAGCAGUGGGGAAUAUUGGACAAUGGGCGCAAGCCUGAUCCAGCAAUGCCGCGUGAGUGAUGAAGGCCUUAGGGUUGUAAAGCUCUUUUACCCGGGAUGAUAAUGACAGUACCGGGAGAAUAAGCUCCGGCUAACUCCGUG
rnacentral:rRNA from 1 species